UACGGAGGGUGCGAGCGUUGUCCGGAAUCAUUGGGCGUAAAGCGCGUGUAGGCGGCCCGGUAAGUCCGCUGUGAAAGUCGGGGGGCUCAACCCUCGAAUGCCGGUGGAUACUGUCGGGCUAGAGUGCGGGAGAGGCGAGUGGAAUUCCUGGUGUAGCGGUGAAAUGCGCAGAUAUCAGGAGGAACACCAAUUGCGAAGGCAGCUCGCUGGAACGUAACUGACGCUGAGAACGCGAAAGCGUGGGGAGCAAACAGG
rnacentral:rRNA from 1 species